rnacentral:lncRNA from 1 species
UCAAAGUUUGUGCUUUUUGUUGCAUGCCCGGAAGGCUGCCGUGACCGAAAGUUACAGUAGCAGAAGAAGAAGUAGCUCCUGAAACCGGAGCGUCCACUGAGCGGCGCCGCAGCCCGCAACUUCCACACACAGCCAGACGGCGUUUCCUCCCUGCAACACGCUGCAGGCCAAUCCGCUCACUCACUCCGUGUUGGGUUACAAUGACAAGGGCCCUGUCUGAACCACGACUUUUAGAAAGAUAAUAUUACAGGCCCACCGCUGAUCCAUCUCCCAGUACACAAUUGAGACUGAGGAGGUUAAAGCACUCUGAACGCAUGGGACCAUAUUGCAGGUGUUUGUGCCUGUGGCAAGGUCUUGGUCUUUUGUUCCCUCCUGCUCCCUCCUCUCCAGCACAAGACGACCGGCAUGCACACAAGACAAGACCUCGGACAGAAACAAGUGUCCUUGCUACACAGCUAUGCCACGGAAGACGGAGUUGGUAUUAAUAUUAAUGAAUGUGCACUGACAAUGUCAAGUUUUAAUGGAUAAUAAAUUAAAGUAUUCUCAUUGAUAAUUAACUUUGUGUGGGCAAUAAACAUCCCACUAGGCAAGAUGCCAUCUUUGUAAGCAAUGAUAUUUUAAUAAAUCAUAAGCGGGAUUGAAAAUG